rnacentral:tRNA from 1 species
GCGGGUGUAGUUUAGUGGUAGAAUGACUGCCUUCCAAGCAGUAGACGGGGGUUCGAUUCCCCCUACCCGCA